rnacentral:ncRNA from 2 species
GGACGAGCCUCUGGAGAGACUCAUAUUUAUUAUGAGCACCGAAGGAGCAAGGCAAAUUUUAUUUGCUGAAACUCUCAGGUAAAAGGACAGGGGAUAGGAU